AGUGAACGCUGGCGGUAGGCCUAACACAUGCAAGUCGAACGGCAGCACAGUAAGAGCUUGCUCUUACGGGUGGCGAGUGGCGGACGGGUGAGGAAUACAUCGGAAUCUACUUUUUCGUGGGGGAUAACGUAGGGAAACUUACGCUAAUACCGCAUACGACCUACGGGUGAAAGCAGGGGAUCUUCGGACCUUGCGCGAUUGAAUGAGCCGAUGUCGGAUUAGCUAGUUGGCGGGGUAAAGGCCCACCAAGGCGACGAUCCGUAGCUGGUCUGAGAGGAUGGGCAGCCAGCCUGGAACGGGGACCGGGCCCAGAGCCCACGGGAGGGAGCCAGGGGGGAUAAGGGAAGAAGGGGGGCAGGCUUUAGCCGGACAGCCGGCGGGGGGAAAAAGGACCGUCGGGUUGAAAAGCCCUUUUUUUGGGGAAAAAAAAGCAGCAGGCUAACACCCGGCGUUUGUGACGGUACCCAAAAAAAAAGCACCGGCUAACUUCGUG
rnacentral:rRNA from 1 species